CAACUUUCAUCCUAUACCGUUGGAUCGAGAAAUGGACGUUCGAGAUUCGUCCACGUCACCAUGAGUUAAAAUUUACUAGAAGUUAAAUUUUAACUCAUGGUGACGUGGACGAAUCUCGGACUUCCAUUUCUCGAUCCAACGGUAUAGAAUGAGAGUUG
rnacentral:pre_miRNA from 1 species